rnacentral:rRNA from 1 species
UUUCCCUACGGGAGGCAGCAGUAGGGAAUCUUCCACAAUGGACGAAAGUCUGAUGGAGCAACGCCGCGUGAGUGAAGAAGGGUUUCGGCUCGUAAAGCUCUGGUGGGAGUGAAGAAAGAUAGAGGUAGUAACUGGCCUUUAUUUGACGGGAAUUACUUUGAAAGUCACGGCUAACUACGUGCCAGCAACCGCGGUAAUACGGAGGUGGCAAGCGUUGUCCGGAUUUAUUGGGCGUAAAGCGAGGGCAGGCGGGUCAAAAA